AAGGAGACAACCAGGAGGCCGAGCUGCUCAUCCUGGAUGAUUUUGCUGUGCUCUGCAGAGACCUAUAUGCUUUCUACCCAAUGCUCAUCAGCUAUGUUGACAACAACAGGUCCAGGUGGCUGAAGGAGCCGGAUGCGGACUCCACUGAGCUCUUCAGGAUGGUGGCUGAGAUCUUCAUCCUCUGGUGCAAGUCCCAUAACUUUAAGCGUGAGGA